GAGAGGAUGUGCGGAGGCAGACUGUCGGGCGGGUCCAGCAGUAGAGGCGCUCCCGGAGCCCACGGAGCUCACGGAAGUCCAUAUCGGACAGCAGAAUGACAGCAAGCACCGUGUAGUGAGGAAGACGAUAUAAUGUUUCACCUUCCCAAAAUGGGAGCCAUAAUGCUUAGAUUAAAAAAAGAGGCCCAGUGGACGACCACGGAUCCAGCGGAGGGACUGCGGAACUUGAUGGAGGCUGUACACUUGUGGAUAAGCCGUUUAUCAUCACGGCUCUGGAAUGCUGCUGAUAGGUCAAACAUGCCAAAGGAUCAGCAAUCAAUAACUUCAGAGGAAUGUUUUUACUCAGCUCCUGUCUCCGCGUCAGACCACACAUCUGCUUCCAAUAUCCCUGCCUCCAGACAGCACACUUACACUAUCACAUGUGAGUGUGUGUGGGGCGGUGGGGUGUCUUCAGACUGCCUGACACCCUCAUACACAAUAUCAGCUCCACUGCCUGAAAGACACGCACAAAAGUAUUUUAUCACCCCACCGGAGGAAAGAUAAAGAAGAUAUAAUGGCAAUUGCCUUGCUGGAUACAAUUAAUAACACUAAGAGUUACAAAGAGUCCCUGCGACUGAUCUGGAAUCAGUACCAAACAUAAUUGAUAGACGUGUGACUCAUCCAGGUUGUUACUGAACAACAUAAACUGACACUGGGUACUCGACUAAGUUGUGGCAUGUCUGACUCCAGUUUCAUAUCUGCCAUGUCAAAUAGCUCAGUGCAAUG